rnacentral:rRNA from 1 species
GACGAACGCUGGCGGCGUGCCUAAUACAUGCAAGUCGAACGCAUUUUCUUUCACCGUAGCUUGCUACACCGAAAGAAAAUGAGUGGCGAACGGGUGAGUAACACGUGGGUAACCUGCCCAUCAGCGGGGGAUAACACUUGGAAACAGGUGCUAAUACCGCAUAAUUCCAUUUACCGCAUGGUAGAUGGAUGAAAGGCGCUUUUGCGUCACUGAUGGAUGGACCCGCGGUGCAUUAGCUAGUUGGUGGGGUAACGGCCUACCAAGGCUGCGAUGCAUAGCCGACCUGAGAGGGUGAUCGGCCACACUGGGACUGAGACACGGCCCAGACUCCUACGGGAGGCAGCAGUAGGGAAUCUUCGGCAAUGGACACAAGGCUGACCGAGCAACGCCGCGUGAGUGAAGAAGGUUUUCGGAUCGUAAAACUCUGUUGUUAGAGAAGAACAAGGAUGAGAGUGGAAAGUUCAUCCCUUGACGGUAUCUAACCAGAAAGCCACGGCUAACUACGUG